CCCUUAGAUGUUCUGGGCGGCCCGCGCACUACAAUGGCGCUUUCAGCGAGUUCCUAUGUUGAAUUUUCCUGGGUAUUCUUGGAAGCGGCGUCUUGACUUGGGAUAGAUCCUUGUAAUUGUUGGUUUUGAACGAGGAAUUCCUUGUAAUCGCGGUUGAUCAGCUCGCGUUGAAUACGUCCCUGCCCUUUGUACACACCGCCCGUCGCUCCUACCGACGAAUCGUCCGGUGAAGUUCACAGAGUGGCGGUUCGUGGAGUUGCUCGCGAAGUGAAAUGGACCUCACGAUUUAGAGGAAGGAGAAGUCGUAACA
rnacentral:rRNA from 1 species